UACAGAGGUCCCGAGCGUUGUUCGGAUUCACUGGGCGUAAAGGGUGCGUAGGUGGUGAGGUAAGUCGGAUGUGAAAUCUCCAAGCUCAACUUGGAAACUGCAUUGGAAACUACCUUGCUAGAGGAUUUGAGGGGGGAUUGGAAUACUUGGUGUAGCAGUGAAAUGCGUAGAUAUCAAGUGGAACACCAGUGGCGAAGGCGAAUCCCUGGAAAAUACCUGACACUGAGGCACGAAAGCGAGGGGAGCAAACAGG
rnacentral:rRNA from 1 species